GGAGUCGGCCAGGCAGCCGCUGCGCGCCGCUUGCGGCGUACAGAGGAAAGUCCGGGCUCCGCAGAGCGGGAUGCAGGGUAAUUCCCUGGCACGGCGACGUGACGAACAGGGCCACAGAGACGAGUCCUCGGUUUAACCACCGAGGGGUGAAACGCGGCAACCUCCAUCCGGAGCAACACCAAAUAGGCAAGCGCUGCCGCGCCCUCCGGGCGCGGUGAAAGGCCGGCUCGGCCGAGCUUGCGGGUAGGUGGCUGGAGCCGCGGGGCGACUCGCGGCCAAGAGGAAUGGCUGCCAGCUCCGCGCCGGGUUCGCCCGGUCGGAGGCACAGAACCCGGCUUACCGGCCGUCUCCCAUU
rnacentral:RNase_P_RNA from 2 species